rnacentral:rRNA from 1 species
GACGAACGCUGGCGGCGUGCCUAAUACAUGCAAGUUGAGCGCUGAAGGUUGGUACUUGUACCAACUGGAUGAGCAGCGAACGGGGGAGUAACGCGUGGGGAAUCUGCCUUUUAGCGGGGGACAACAUUUGGAAACGAAUGCUAAUACCGCAUAAAAACUUUAAACACAAGUUUUAAGUUUGAAAGAUGCAAUUGCAUCACUCAAAGAUGAUCCCGCGUUGUAUUAGCUAGUUGGUGAGGUAAAGGCUCACCAAGGCGAUGAUACAUAGCCGACCUGAGAGGGUGAUCGGCCACAUUGGGACUGAGACACGGCCCAAACUCCUACGGGAGGCAGCAGUAGGGAAUCUUCGGCAAGGGACGAAAGUCUGACCGAGCAACGCCGCGUGAGUGAAGAAGGUUUUCGGAUCGUAAAACUCUGUUGGUAGAGAAGAACGUUGGUGAGAGUGGAAAGCUCAUCAAGUGACGGUAACUACCCAGAAAGGGACGGCUAACUACGUG